AAUUACUGGGCGUAAAGCGCAUGCAGGUGGUUUGUUAAGUCAGAUGUGAAAGCCCGGGGCUCAACCUCGGAAUUGCAUUUGAAACUGGCAGACUAGAGUACUGGUAGAGGGGGUAGAAUUUCAGGUGUAGCGGUGAAAUGCGUAGAGAUCUGAAGGAAUACCGGUGGCGAAGGCGGCCCCCCUGGACAGAUACUGACACUCAGAUGCGAAAGCGUGGGGAGCAAACAGGAUUAGAUACCCUGGUAG
rnacentral:rRNA from 1 species